AGCAGCAGCCACGGUAAUACGGAGGGUGCAAGCGUUAAUCGGAAUUACUGGGCGUAAAGCGCACGCAGGCGGUUUGUUAAGUCAGAUGUGAAAUCCCCGAGCUUAACUUGGGAACUGCAUUUGAAACUGGCAAGCUAGAGUCUUGUAGAGGGGGGUAGAAUUCCAGGUGUAGCGGUGAAAUGCGUAGAGAUCUGGAGGAAUACCGGUGGCGAAGGCGGCCCCCUGGACAAAGACUGACGCUCAGGUGCGAAAGCGUGGGGAGCAAACAGGAUUAGAGACCCGAGUAGUCCCUGUCUCUUAUAA
rnacentral:rRNA from 1 species